rnacentral:rRNA from 1 species
UACGUAGGGUGCAAGCGUUGUCCGGAAUUAUUGGGCGUAAAGAGCUCGUAGGCGGUUUGUCGCGUCUGCUGUGAAAACCCGAGGCUCAACCUCGGGCCUGCAGUGGGUACGGGCAGACUAGAGUGCGGUAGGGGAGAUUGGAAUUCCUGGUGUAGCGGUGGAAUGCGCAGAUAUCAGGAGGAACACCGGUGGCGAAGGCGGGUCUCUGGACCGGUGCUGACGCUCAGGCGCGAAAGCUAGGGGAGCAAAUAGG